rnacentral:rRNA from 1 species
CAGCCGCCGCGGUAAUUCCGGCGGCCCGAGUGGUGGCCGCUAUUAUUGGGCCUAAAGCGUCCGUAGCCGGGCCCGUAAGUCCCUGGCGAAAUCCCACGGCUCAACCGUGGGGCUUGCUGGGGAUACUGCGGGCCUUGGGACCGGGAGAGGCGGGGGGGGCCCCCGGGGGAGGGGGGAAAUCCUAUAAUCCCGGGGGGACCGCCAGUGGCGAAGGCGCCCCGCUGGAACGGGUCCGACGGUGAGGGACGAAGGCCAGGGGAGCAAACCGGAUUAGAUACCCGGGUAGUCCUGGCUGUAAACGAUGCGGACUUUGUGUCGGACAAGCUAUGAGCUUGUCCGGUGCCGGAGGGAAACCGUUAAGUCCGCCGCCUGGGGAGUACGGCCGCAAGGCUGAAACUUAAAGGAAUUGGCGGG